GGGGAUUUAGCUCAGUGGCAUAAGCACCUGCCUUGCAAGCAUGCAGUCGUGAAUUCAAUCCCUG
rfam:Cavia porcellus supercont2_59 genomic scaffold, whole genome shotgun sequence.